rnacentral:lncRNA from 1 species
AGGUCCGGGCAGCCGAAGAGUGUGGUAGGUAACGGUCGUCAGCGCAAGGGUCAUUUCGUCGCUGGGAAGGGACGGCCCUCGCCCGCGGUGAUGGUGGUUAGCAAGAUGAACAAAGAUGCGCAGAUGAGAGCAGCGAUUAACCAAAAGUUGAUAGAAACUGGAGAAAGAGAACGCCUCAAAGAGUUGCUGAGAGCUAAAUUAAUUGAAUGUGGCUGGAAGGAUCAGUUGAAGGCACACUGUAAAGGUAAUUAAAGAAAAAGGACUAGAACACGUUACUGUUGAUGACUUGGUGGCUGAAAUCACACCAAAAGGCAGAGGGAAAAACACUCUUUCCAAAAUUAGCCCUGGUACCUGACAGUGUAAAGAAGGAGCUCCUACAAAGAAUAAGAACAUUCCUUGCUCAGCAUGCCAGCCUUUAAGAUUGAAUUAGAUUGUGUCGUUUUGUGGUUUUAUUUCUGAAAGUAAAACUUGCCAUAAAUUAGGAAUCAAUUUCCCCAAAUAAAAUCCUUUUUUGUAUGAUGGUAUACAGUUUUCAGUAAUGAUGUAUACAUUGUAUUGAUUUUUUUCCCUAAAUGUGUUAUUUUAAUAAAUAUCUCAUGAAUGAGUUUGAAGUUUCCUUGGGUUUUGGAAUAAAUGGGACUUUAUUAAUAAUUCAUCAGAUUUGUUGAGAGAAAAAGUCAGCAAUUAAUAUAGUUUAAGUGUUAAAUAUGUAAAUGUUAAGUAAGCAAAUAUCUGUACUAACAACUGAGAAGUAAACAGCGUCUUCUGAUUGUUUGGAUGUAGUGUAUGCCUCUUGAAUCCCUAUAAUAUUUUAUAAUAUAUGUCCCAUCUUGUACUACAGAUAUCUUAUUUGUUAUUAAUGCUGAGGUUAGGACUAGGUCUUACUCAUCUUUAUGUGCCUUCCUUAUUCCUCAAAGAAUUUACCAUCUUAUUGGAAGAGAGAACAUUUGCAAACUGGCUCCAUACCAAGCUCCUUUCACAUACUCAUCUGAACUUUGAAAGCAGAAACUAAAUUGCAUCCCCACAUACUAAGGUCAAGAAAGAACUUAAUGGGAAAUAAUCUCCGCCCAUAGCUUUACUCUGACAUCAAGAUUGCCAAAUCCAUGGACUUUUGUCUAUUCUUACGUGACCUCUACUGGAAAAGGAGAAUGUUGACCAUCCUGCCACUUGGAACUCUUCCCACUCCUCACGUUGUUUAUACCUACCACUGGAAGCUCCUCCUAUUUCUUGUGGAUAACUUUUGCUGUAUGGAACUUUAAAUAAUGGUGUUUCUUAGUGCCCCCUCUGGGCCCUCUGCCUGAUAAAAUUUCCUGGGCAAAUCCCAGGAAACUUGGGUCGGACCAUGGCUUCAAACACUAACAGGUUGACAAAUGAUAAACUGCAUCUCCAGCCCAGCCUCCAGAUCCAUAUACUCAACUGCUACGGAUCAGACUCCUUGAAUGUUCCAUAAACACCUCAAACUGACCACUCCUAAGAGUGAUUUUUCUGUUUCCUCCAGUAACUUCCCUUACUGUGUUUCUAUUCUCUGAGUGGUGCCUCCCAGAUAUACAGAUUACCCAAGGAACUUGUUAAAAUAAUGAUUCUAAAGGUAAGGGAUAUGGCACAAAAUUCUGUAUUUCAGACAAGCUUCUCAAACAUGCUUAUGCUGCUGAUCAAGGCCAGUUUGAGUGUAGCAAGGCUGUGUGUUGCUCAUUCCCUGCCCUCUUAGUUGAAGUCCAGAUUAGUGCAGUAGGCUUUUAGUAUUUCCUUGCUCCAGUUGCCCCAUGCCUCCUCCAGUAUAUCUUCCACAUUAUUGCCUAAGUGACCUUACCAAAAUUCAAGCCUGAUCAUUUUAUUCUCCUACUUGAAAUUUCUCAAUGACUUCCUAGUUUGCAGGGUAAAAUUCAAGUUCAGCCAUAGCACCUAGACACUUCUUGAUCUGCCAUUCACUAAUUUCUCUGAUUUGUCUAAAGAGUCCCCCAGAGUUCUUUCAUCUCUAAAUAAUUUGAAAAUCCAUCAACCUAGAACGCAUUCUACCUACCUCAUUCCCACUUGCCCUUCAGAAUCCAGCCUGAGUUGUUGCUGAAAUAUUCUGAUGUUUCUUGUUUAGAUUCCCCACUACUGUUUUUCUUUAAGAAGCACCUGUGUGUAAUUUCAACUCAGUGGUUUUCCAACUUUAGCCUGCAUCUUCUGGAGGGGAGGAAACCUGGCUUUGAUUUUUAUUUCGUAUGAAACUUAUUUGUGGAUGAAUGGAUGAGGGAAUGAAUAUAUGAAUGAACUAUUGAACAUUGUUGGAGCAGAGAAGUUUACAAUUGAGUGUAGCUGAGGAAAGCCUUUGUUAAUUUUUGGUUCAUAUUCUAGGGAUAAAACCUGAUGAAUUUACAUUUUAAGUGUAGUCACUGAACCAACUGUACUUAGUUAUGUAAAUUUUGAGUCCAAGGCACACACAAAAUCAUGAAAUUACCCCAAAGAGUUUUUUGUUCACUUCAUCUCAUAAAGCAAUGAUACAAAGUAAUGAUAGCCAUAUUCAUCAUUCUACUACCAAUUAUCAAAAAGGAAACAAUCUCAAAUGGUAUAUAAAAAAAUGUUUAAAACAAGUCGUUCUUAUUUCAUUACUGUAUGUGAAAGCAAACCAAAAAUUGCUCAUAGACUAUUUUAAUAGCUCAAAAGCAAAUACAAGGAAAUGGAAAGUAAGUUACAAAAAAUUUUGUAAUGGAACAAAAAAUAACAAUAAAAAAUAACAGCAAUUCAAAAUACUAAAGAACAUAGCAUUAAAAUGAUAAUGCCGAAAACUCCCCCACCGCCUCUAGGUUUUUUUGACAUCUUAGAAAUUAUCUUACAGUUUGCACCUAGAACCAUUGAUAUCUUUCAAAUAAAUCAACUUUGUGUAUACCUUGACUCACAUCAUUGAUUUAUGUAAACUAGGAAUACAUUCUUCAAAAAUCUUGCACCCUUUUCUGCUCAAUGUUGGAAAUUCAGUAGGAGAUUACUGUUACAUGACUGCACUGGUGAGUAAAAUACUAAUUAGGAUUACUAUAAGCGCCUCUUGUAUAGGAUUAAAGAAGACCCAACUAAAUUAUUUAUGUAAUCACUUU